rnacentral:rRNA from 1 species
GACGAAGGGUGCUAGCGUUGUUCGGAAUUACUGGGCGUAAAGCGAGUGUAGGUGGUUGUCCAAGUUGGAUGUGAAAGCCUUGAGCUCAACUCAAGAAAUGCAUUCAGGACUGGGCGGCUAGAGGACCGGAGAGGAUAGUGGAAUUCCCAGUGUAGUGGUGAAAUACGUAGAGAUUGGGAAGAACACCAGUGGCGAAGGCGGCUAUCUGGACGGUUUCUGACACUAAGACUCGAAAGCGUGGGGAGCAAACAGG